rnacentral:rRNA from 1 species
UACGAAGGGGGGCUAGCGUUGCUCGGAAUGACUGGGCGUAAAGGGCGCGUAGGCGGUUUGUACAGUCAGGUGUGAAAUUCCCGGGCUCAACCUGGGGGCGGCACUUGAGACGUAGGAACUGGAGUGAGGAAGAGGGUCGUGGAAUUCCCAGUGUAGAGGUGAAAUUCGUAGAUAUUGGGAAGAACACCGGUGGCGAAGGCGGCGACCUGGUCCUUUUACUGAGCUGAGGCGCGAAAAGCGUGGGGGAGCAAACAGG